UACCUGGUUGAUCCUGCCAGUAGUCAUAUGCUUGUCUCAAAGAUUAAGCCAUGCAAGUCUAAGUACGAGCUCUCGUACAGAGAAACUGCGAAUGGCUCAUUAAAUCAGUUAUGGUUCAUUUGAUCGUACAGUUUACUUGGAUAACUGUGGUAAUUCUAGAGCUAAUACAUGCGAGAAGCGCCGACCUCGCGGGAGGCGUGCAUUUAUCAGACCAAAAACCGGCCGCGUCUUCGGGCGCGUUCGCCUUGGUGACUCUGGAUAACUUUGCGGAUCGCACGGUCUAGCACCGGCGACGGAUCAUUCAAGUGUCUGCCCUAUCAACUUUCGUCGGUACGGUAUUUGCCUACCGAGGUUCUUACGGGUGACGGGGAAUCAGGGUUCGAUUCCGGAGAGGGAGCCUGAGAAACGGCUACCACAUCCAAGGAAGGCAGCAGGCGCGCAAAUUACCCAUUCCCGACGCGGGGAGGUAGUGACGAAAAAUAACAAUGCAGGACUCGUUCGAGGCCCUGUAAUUGGAAUGAGUACACUUUAAAAGCUUUAACGAGUAUCCAUUGGAGGGCAAGUCUGGUGCCAGCAGCCGCGGUAAUUCCAGCUCCAAAAGUAUAUAUUUAAGUUGUUGCGGUUAAAAAGCUCGUAGUUGGAUUUUGGGCGCAGGCGGCCGGUCCGUCGCAAGGCGUGUACUGGACGUCCUGGCCUUCCCUCCGGUUCUCCGCCGGUGCUCUUGACUGAGUGUCGGCGGCGGCCGG
rnacentral:ncRNA from 1 species